rnacentral:rRNA from 1 species
UAGAAUGGCUAUUAUCAAAAAGAAAAGAGAUAGUCUGAUCUCCUAAGCUAAGCAGGGUGGGUCGGGCCUGGUUAGUACCUGGAUGGGAGACCACCUAGGAAGACCAGGUGCUGUAGGCA